rnacentral:rRNA from 1 species
GACGAACGCUGGCGGCGUGCCUAAUACAUGCAAGUAAAACGCUGAAGAGAGGAGCUUGCUCUUCUUGGAUGAGUUGCGAACGGGUGAGUAACGCGUAGGUAACCUGCCUUGUAGCGGGGGAUAACUAUUGGAAACGAUAGCUAAUACCGCAUAACAAUGGAUGACACAUGUCAUUUAUUUGAAAGGGGCAAUUGCUCCACUACAAGAUGGGCCUGCGUUGUAUUAGCUAGUAGGUGAGGUAAUGGCUCACCUAGGCGACGAUACAUAGCCGACCUGAGAGGGUGAUCGGCCACACUGGGACUGAGACACGGCCCAGACUCCUACGGGAGGCAGCAGUAGGGAAUCUUCGGCAAUGGGGGCAACCCUGACCGAGAAACGCCGCGUGAGUGAAGAAGGUUUUCGGAUCGUAAAGCUCUGUUGUAAGUCAAGAACGGGUGUGAGAGUGGAAAGUUCACACUGUGACGGUAGCUUACCAGAAAGGGACGGCUAACUACGUG